rnacentral:rRNA from 1 species
AGAAUGAACGCUGGCGGCGUGGUUAAGACAUGCAAGUCGAACGGUUUUCAAUGAAGGGCAACCGGAUUUGAAAGCAGUGGCGAACGGGUGCGUAACACGUGAACAAUCUACCUCCAAGUGGGGAAUAGCUCGCCGAAAGGCGAAUUAAUACCGCAUGUGGUGGUCUCUCGCAUGAGAGUAUUUACUAAAGUCAGGGACCGCGAAGGCCUGACGCUAGGAGAGGAGUUCGCGGCCUAUCCGAGCUAGUUGGCGAGGUAACGCUCACAGGCUAAGACGGGUA